AGCAAUCUUGGUCCUGAUCUGCAAGAUACAUCAAUUGACAUUUGAUUUAGAAUUCAGUGAUGAUCUUGGGCAAAAAAAAUGCAUGGAAAAAAGAACACAGCAAGCAUGAACAACUUGAUACCCCAAAUGCACCUUCAAUAGUCCAAACUUCUACUAAUCUCAAUUAAGCCCCAGUUCAGGAUGGCUACUUGGCUCCUUUGCUACUAUACCAUUUUUUUAGGGCCAAACUUCUGUUUGUUGCUGUGAUACUAAACCAAAUUACUCCAAAUACUUCAAAAUAAAAAGCCUAAUAGAAAAUAUUGAAUUACUUUAUCUCUUUUUCCAAGUCACAAAAAAGCAGGAAAGGUUCUUUUCACAACUAAAUAAUUGUUUUUAUCAUAUAUUAUACCAUUUCCAAACAGGUAACUCAUAGUCACAAAGUUGCCCCAUUCACAUUCAAAGCAUAGAUAGUCAGCAGCAAACAAACAUAGAGAACUGGAAAAUACAGCAACAAUCCCAAUUUCCAUGUUAGUAAUCUACAGUAUACCAUUCUAGAUCCAAGUGGUUCAAUAAAACACUCAAUGCUGAGAAACAUUGUCCAUAAUGGUUUACAUUGAUUUCUUAUUAUAAU
rnacentral:misc_RNA from 1 species